CUGUCGGUGCCUGGGUGACUCAACCGCAUGCAAAUAGGCCACGUGGAGCAGCCCAGCCAAGACCAGCCUGGUCUAACUAAAUGGAUAAGGGAGAGUAGCCAGGAAGCGAUGCCCCAGCCGCAUGGAUCCCAAUUCACACGACCAGCACAGGCCCCCACGGCCGGUCGGGCGAGGAGCUUCCGCUGCGCUCUUCCUCGUCGGAGGAGCCGCCGGGGAGGCUGGUGCCAGGCGUGACGCCAUUGGAGAGGCUGCUCGCGAACCCGAGCACGGUCGGGCUCCAUGUGCCAGCGCGAGCGGAGUGCGUGCUUGAAGACGAGGGCACCGCACGCCAGCAGUAUCUCGCUGGCGCCUGAAGGUGUCGGUGCCGACCGCCGCAGGCGCGCGUGGAGACGGGCUGGGCGCCGCCGAGACGUGAGCAUUCGUGGCCAUUGGUCGCCGCUUCAGUCGGCCGCCGGAAGUUCAGUCGCGCAGGGGCCGAGCCGCGCGCAGCCGCCGCGGAUGCCUUAGGCGGUCGUGCCACAGGGCCGCGGGAAGCCGCGCUAGUGGAGCCGCUGCGUCGCGGCCGGCCCGCUGAUUCGUCAUGUGCUCGAGGCCUCCUUGCUGGUGCAUGGCUGAGGGCAGGCGACUGGCGAGAGCCCAAGGGAUGUAUCCAUGCCGAUGCGGAGCGGACGCGAGAGCCGCUUGUGGGGAUAACGACAGGCCCGAUGUCAUCGCUCCGGAGGGCCGGCCAGGGGCAUGGCCUGGAGCGCCGCCGAUCUGCAUGAUGCAAGACGAGGGCCGCGUCGACCACCAGGGAGCAGCGCUGAAGGAGUGGUCGUCGCCGUUGCUGCUCUUUGCGUCGUCUCCGGCCUUGUUCUCCGUGUCGCGCCGUGAGGCCGAUAGGAUCGCUCCGCCGGGAGCGUGCUGAUAACGUAUUAAAUGAAAACGAGAUGCAACUCAGUCAA